rnacentral:sRNA from 1 species
ACAUCCAUUCACCCUUCUCAUCGCGAUCCCGCUCCGCGCUCGCGUAGUUCUUAACAAUUCCUCUGAAUAACUCUUAAUGUUCUUCCACUCUGUGCUCCACUGUGGUGCACACAUCCUUACAACUACUCACGAACAUAGAGCCUGAUAGAGGUACAUUUGAAAUUUUUGCAUUUAUCACUUAUUUUUCACAUAAUUUUAACUCAACAACGAGCAAAACCGUGAAUGAGCUCAAUUCUUUGAAUUAGACAAUAUUACGAAUUGAUUAAGGAAAGAAAGAGAAAAGAGAUCAGAAGGAAAGGUCGUACGAAGGGGGUUCUUAUAGAAGGGAGAUCGGGGCGGAAGAAUAUCAGAAGCCGCUCCACAGUGGAGCGCGGAGCGGAAGAACGUUAAGGGCUACGCGGAAGAAUCGUUAGAGACUACGCGAGCGCGGAGCACGGAGCGGAAGAACAUCGAGGGUUACGCGGGGUCACAAUGACAAGGAACGAGUGGGUGCAGGAGGGGAGUUGGUUGCGUAAGUUAAUUACUAACGGGUGCUAACCCGUCACAAUAGCGUUUUGACAUCUGCUUGGAUAGAUUCUCAACAUUUCAUUAAAUUACUCCUUCAAUACUGAAUCAAAUCAGCUCAGAUUUUGAUCAGAGAUAGUAUCAAAAUCCUAUUCAAUUUGAUCUGCAGUUGUUUGAGUUAUUCUUGAUUCUGUGUUUGAGAAAACUCUGAUCAAUUUUCAUGUUCCAAUACAUCCAUGCUGUUGGGGGGUUUGGAUUGGUUCGUCCCCUCUACUACCAGCAUGGCGCUGGUGUGAGAGAGCUCUUUUGCCCCAGUGGCCUAACACAUGCCAAGUCCCCCCUGAGUACCACCCAGUUACACGUGCCUGCCAAGUAACAA